UACGUAGGUGACCAGCGUUGUCCGGAUUUACUGGGCGUAAAGAGCGCGCAGGCGGUCGUUCAAGUCGAGUGUGAAAAGCCCCCGGCUCAACUGGGGAGGGUCACUUCGAUACUGAUCGACUUGAAGGCAGGAGAGGGAAGCGGAAUUCCCGGUGUAGUGGUGAAAAUGCGCAGAUAUCAGGAGGAACACCGAUGGCGAAGGCAGGUCUCUGGGCACUACUGACGCUGAGAGCGAAAGCAUGGGGAGCGAACAGG
rnacentral:rRNA from 1 species